GUGGGGAAUAUUGCGCAAUGGGCGAAAGCCUGACGCAGCGACGCCGCGUGAGGGAAGAAGGCCUUAGGGUCGUAAACCUCUGUUGUGUGGGAAGAAGGAAGUGACGGUACCGGAAUAGAAAGCCACGGCUAACUACGUGCCAGCAGCCGCGGUAAUACGUAGGUGGCAAGCGUUGUCCGGAAUUAUUGGGCGUAAAGCGCGCGCAGGCGGAUCUGCCAGUCUGUCUUAAAAGUUCGGGGCUUAACCCCGUGAUGGGAUGGAAACUACAGAUCUAGAGUAUCGGAGAGGAAAGUGGAAUUCCUAGUGUAGCGGUGAAAUGCGUAGAUAUUAGGAAGAACACCAGUGGCGAAGGCGACUUUCUGGACGAAAACUGACGCUGAGGCGCGAAAGCCAGGGGAGCGAACGGGAUUAGAUACCCCUGUAGUCC
rnacentral:rRNA from 1 species